UACAGAGGGUGCAAACGUUGUUCGGAUUUACUGGGCGUAAAGAGCGUGUAGGCGGCCUGAAAGGUCAGCUGUGAAAACUCGAGGCUCAACCUCGAGACGUCGGUUGAAACCAUCUGGCUAGAGUCCGGAAGAGGAGUGUGGAAUUCCCGGUGUAGCGGUGAAAUGCGCAGAUAUCGGGAAGAACACCCGUGGCGAAGGCGGCACUCUGGGACGGUACUGACGCUGAGACGCGAAAGCGUGGGGAGCGAACAGG
rnacentral:rRNA from 1 species